GUCCCCUGGGAGGUCAGUGCAGGGUUCCUCCAUUUUGACAUGAGUAAAUUCUAGAUUAGGUAUUUGGCAGUUAACUCAUCUGGAUAUAUGGGAACAGAAGUGCCAGACACGUAGAUAAUAUUUGGAGAACAGGAGCAGACUUGGAACAUGCUGAAUAGAGGACAAGGAAAAUUAUACUUUGGUGAAGUCCAGUAAUUCAAGUGUUUGGCUAACAAUCAUCAAGGCCACAAAAACCCAGCCUCUGCUCUUGGCAGUAUCAGGAACUUCAUGGAAUACAUCACUUUCAAAUUGCAGCUGCAAAUGGUCUUGUUAAAGACGGAGUCUUGCUCGUUCACCUCACCCAGGCUAGACUGCAGUGGCGCGAUCUCGGCUCACUGCAAGCUCCGCCUCCCAAGUUCAAGCGAUUCUCCUGCUUCGGCCGCCAGAGUAGCUGGGACUAUAGGCGUCCGCCACCGCGCCCGCCACCACGCCCGGCUAAUUUUUUGUAUCUUUAGUAGAGACGGGGUUUCCCCGUGUUAGCCGGGAUGGUCUCCAUCUUCUGACCUCGUGAUCCACCCGCCUCGGACUCCCAAAUCGCUGGGAUUACAGGCGUGAGCCAUGCAUAUUUCCUUGUUAAUGAUAACUACAAUAGCAAAGAGUUAUUGAGUGAACACUGACAAUGACCCUAUGAGGUAGAGAUGUUAGGUAUCAUCAGACAAACUUAAAGAUGAUCUGACAAUGUCAUUUUCCAAGGGACUGAUAGAAAGAUUGAGUAUCAUGGAAUCAGAACAGACAACAGAGAAUCAGAUUUGGACUGAAUCAGAAUAAACAGGCAAUGCAGACACUUGUUCUCUGAAUCACAAUCAAGACUCAGUGCUGGAACAGAUUUGAGGAAUGUAUACAAUUCUUAUCUAAACUAACGUCUGAUAUUUAACCAGUUUAAAGUUUUUUCUUUUAUUUUAAUGUGAGAAAAAUUUAACAGAUAAUACAUUUUCCCUUCACUA